UUGGAUGAUCCUUUAGCCCUCACUAUGAUGUGAUAUGGAAGUCCAGGUGUGGCCUGCACUACGCCCCUGGCACAAUGUAAGAGAAAGUCCGGGUGUGGCCUGCACUACGCCCCCGGCACGAGUGGAUAUGUAUGAUAUGAUAUGUGUAAGAGAAAGACCAGGUGUGGCCUGCACUACACCCCUGGCAUGAUUGGAUUAUUUAGAGGGCUAUUG
rnacentral:lncRNA from 1 species